rnacentral:rRNA from 1 species
GUGCAAGCCGUAUACACGCAUCGUCGCGCGGACGCGCGCUCGCGCGCGCCUAUCUCUUUACGAGAGAUAUCGGCGCGCGGGCGCGCGCGCUCCCGCGGCGCUGCUAGAACCGGUGAAACCGCGAAAGGCUCAUUAAAUCAGUUAUGGUUCCUUAGAUCGUGCCCACGUUACUUGGAUAACUGUGGUAAUUCUAGAGCUAAUACAUGCCGACAGAGUUCCGACCAGCGCCGUCGAUGCGCCGCNNNNNNNNCGCGCGCGACUGCGCUCGGAAGGAACGCUCUUAUUAGAUCAAAACCGGCCGAGCGGGAUCGGUCGUUNNNNNNNNCGGCGACGCGCGUCGCCCUCUUCUAUACACGAAUCGUUACCCCCGUAAGCGGCCCGCGCAAAGACUUGACGACUCUGAAUAAUUUCUAGCUGAUCGCACGGUCGAAAUAUUUAUAUAUUCACGCAAAGCACCGGCGACGUAUCUUUCAAAUGUCUGCCUUAUCAACUGUCGACGGUAGGUUCGACGCCUACCGUGGUGGUUACGGGUAACGGGGAAUCAGGGUUCGAUUCCGGAGAGGGAGCCUGAGAAACGGCUACCACAUCCAAGGAAGGCAGCAGGCGCGCAAAUUACCCACUCCCAGCUCGGGGAGGUAGUGACGAAAAAUAACGAUACGGGACUCAUCCGAGGCCCCGUAAUCGGAAUG